rnacentral:misc_RNA from 1 species
CACACGCACACGUGCGUCAAGCGCGAGAACACAUACGUGCUCAGGGACGCUUUCGGCUUGGCCCUGCCCCCAUGUCGGCGAAGCAAAGUCGUUCAACAGCGGAGUCGAGGACGGCGCCGCACAGCUACCGUGAAAGAGUCAACUCAACGGUCGAGCUUGCGGCGCUCGUGUACAGGCCCCUCACAGCGUCGGGUGCUCUGCUUAGUAUUCUGCGCGGCAAGCUCUACCGUCGGCGCAGCGUGCGCAACGUUUUAGAUGUGGUGGCAGUGCACUCUAUCUCAGGCGGUCAAGGGCACUCCGCCGAAUCGAAGGUUCGCGUGGAGUACCUCGCACCUGCAGAGGGCAACGCCAACGGGAACAGUAUCAGCAACAUCGGCGCUGCCCCCUGCGCCGACAUCCAAGGCAGCUCAGACAUCGCUGCCACGGGCAACUCGUUGUCGACUCCUGCGCAGCCGGCCCUCCUCGAGGGCCGCUGCAAGAUGUGCCUCCUGGACCCAACAGUCCUCAAGGCUACUGAGCUGUGGCCCGACCCCGCCUCGGCGGCCCAGCACCGCGUGCCUGUUUUUUCACUUGGUGCCGCCAUUGCUGGCUCCCACGUCACCCAGCAACUAGAGGCCGCCUUGCAAGCAGGUCAACUCUCUCGCAAAGCCGCUGAUCUGCUUCAGCAGCUUCACGAACGCCUCUCCAGGGGCCCUUCCUCGGUAAGUCUCACGGAGGACAGGGACGGCAGCGAGCAGCCGCAGGGCUCGCCUCGUGCAGCUGCAGCACCGCCGCCGCCUUCCAGCAAGAGGCGAGCGUCUUACACUGGUGCGGUGGAAGUGACCUUCACCCCUCGUGCGGUGGAGCUCAACUACCAGGCCUACACAAUGUCGGAGCUGCUCUCGAUGGUGUUGCCCCUCCGCGAGCACGCCGACCUGGUGGCGCUCAGCGGCUUUGAGCAAGUCGGGCACAUCGCCCACGUCAACCUCUCCGCUGCGCAUCUGCCGUACGCUGACAUUAUUGGCCAGGUCAUCCUCGACUGCAACGAGACGGUGAGUGUGGUGGUGAAUAAGGUGGACGCGAUCAGCAGCGUGUUUCGCGAAUUCAAAAUGGACAUCAUUGGGCUGCGCUGUCGUACGGAUGGCGUUGACGGAAAUGCUGUAGCGGGUGCCGACCUCGAUGAAUUUGGUGAGGCUGGGGGCUCGCUGACGGCGGCAGAGAGGCAGGCGAUUGCGCUGGAGGCGUUGUCGCCCACCUAUUCGCUUGCCGAGGCACGAAUCCAUCGGCUGCUGACGGCAACGGUUCGCCAGCAUGGCUGCAGCUUUCGCGUGCCGUACAAUCGCGUCUACUGGAACUCGCGCUUGAGUUUUGAGCACACGCGGCUGGUGGAUCGGAUGGGACCGGGGGACAUGCUGUUCGACGUCAUGGCUGGCGUGGGCCCGUUCGCUGUGCCUGCAGCGAAGAAGGGCGUGCAGGUCUUCGCCAACGACCUCAACCCUGUGGCAGCGCAGUACAUGAAGGUGAACGCGGAGCUUAACCACCUGCCCGCCAACUCCCUCCGUGUAUUCAACAUGGACGGGCGCGACUUUCUGAACUCGGUGCUAUUUGACAGCGUCACCAGGGCUGCGGAUGCACCGUUCCCAGGACACCUCUGCACCGGCCGCCGCCACGUGACCAUGAACCUGCCAGCCAUUGCAGUCGAGUUCCUCGACGUGUUCCAGCCACUCUCCAGCACCUGUGCUUCCGCUAGCGGGCAGCAGUGCAACGCGUCCGCCGCAGCGAUCGUGAACGAACGGUGGAAUCACUUGCCAGCCCACGUGGAUCCCAACGCCAUCGACCGCUGCACCCUCUUCCACGUGUACUGCUUCUCAGCCGCCGAAGACCUCAUCACCGACGCCGUGCGACAAGUGGAGGUGAACCUCGGCUACACUCUCCCACCGGAGAAUAUCGAGGAGACGCUCAUGGUGCGGGACGUCGCGCCGACGAAGCGGAUGAUGUGCGUCAGCUUUACACUGCCGCCAGCCUUCUGGGAAAACCUGCUCGCGUCGCGGCCCGGCCAAGGAGAAGAACCACGUGGAGCUCACGCAGAGACGGCCAGCACGCUCGUGGAGGAGGAGGAGGUGGAGCAAGCCGCAAAGAAGGCCAAGACAGAUAAGAUGUAAGAGCGAGACGCAAGCGCAUGUGUGCCUGCAUCAACGCGUUGCUUCGUUAAAACUCUCUCGACUACGCAACACGCAGCAGGGAGGGGAGCAAAAAGUGGCGCCAAGCGGAACAGGAGGAGGACAAGGAGGUGGCGCUGGCCGCGAGGCACGCUUGCGGAAUGUCCACGCUCUGCGGCAUCCGAUGCCCGCGCGCCCGUGUGCAUCCGUGCGUGUGUGUGCGCGCCCAUCCUGUGUUGAUGGGUGUGGAUGCCAGUUUGACUGACCCAAGGCACACUGAGGGGCUUGGCCGCUGAAUGUGAUGCGUGAAUGCGAUGGGCGGGUGGAGGUGUCAUGGAGAGCGGUGGAUCGGACCGGAUAAGGGGAAGAGGUGGCCAUCCUGCGCAGCGGAGGUGGGUGCAUCCAUUAUAUGCGGUGCUCCACAAUGAAGAACAGAGCAGCGCGCGCGAGUUGUGCCGGACCUCCCUUCAGUUAUCCCUAUCCACUUCCCUUGUGCAUCUUCCCCGCGCUUCUCCCCUCUCGCAACGUUUUUGUUCUGCGCUGCUGUCCCCACCUUUUAUCUCGACCUCUCAG